CUAGCUACUACAGCACAUGCCAUCAAGGAUGGUGGUGGUCCAAACAGAUGUGAUAGUAGACUUACCUCAAAUCUCCAUCUUCUUCUUCCUCCAACUUCUUACACCAACCUCCAUUGACAGGUUUGCACGAUUGAUGAUCAAACAAGACUCAUACUCCGAUGUUGACCCAUAAUUUGGGGACGGUGCAUGCCAUCCAGUCGUGGUGCCUAAACCUACAACUACAAAUUUACAAGCAGCCAACAGAGAAUCGAAUGGAAAUGGAAAUUGUGUAUCCUGUACAUGAUUUCCAUCCACAUUGACAUGUAAGAUGGUGCCUAUUGGUUCUGAUAAAUUUAUGCGUUUAACAGAAUGCUAUGCAGGAAUGAAAUUCUAGAUGAAUUAUGCGAAGUAGUUAAUUACGAAACUUGUAGAACAAUUAAGAAAAUUGGCAAGGAAAGAGAGAUAAUAUUCCUGAAACAAGUUCAAAACUGCGAGAAAAAGAGGAAAGAUUAUAUGAGGAUCUUGUCCAA